rnacentral:rRNA from 1 species
UACGUAGGGGGCAAGCGUUGUCCGGAAUCAUGGUGCGUAAAGAGCGUGUAGGCGGCCCGGUAAGUCCGCUGUGAAAGUCCAGGGCUCAACCCUGGGAUGCCGGUGGAUACUGUCGGGCUCGAGUCCGGAAGAGGAGUGUGGAAUCCUGGUGUAGCGGUGAAAUGCGCAGAUAUCAGGAGGAACACCAAUGGCGAAGGCAGCACUCUGGGACGUGGACUGACGCUGAGACGCGAAAGCGUGGGGAGCAAACAGG